GCUGUACGUUAUGUUGAGAGAAGAUCUGUCGCCCCCCCCUCCCUGCGUCCCUCCUCUGCAUCACCGCUCCCCUCUCCUCACGUCCGACCUCCCGCCUCAUGCCAUUUUCCUCCCAAUCUCCCUCCCGCCGCCAUCGAUCACUUCAUGGAAGUCACAGCCAUUCCUCUUGUCUGCCUUCUGAGGACAAGGCAUCUCAUACACCGAGACGACUACCAUCAUUUAUCCCCAACGGACGCAUUUCAAGGAAAAAGACACAGUCCCUACCCCAAGGAGCUUCCUUCAAGAUGCCUCCUGCUGGAGUGAGAUAACUACGGGCUACUUGUUUUGCUGCCAGCUGUCGAUUAUCUGCACUAAUGGAGAAGAGGAAUAGCACUGAAAAUCCAAAAUUGGAAGAGCGGCAUAGACUUCAAAGGGGAGGAAGGGACCCGCUUGAGUCAGACAAGUAAUUUGGUUCAUUCAUUCAUUCAGUCAUAUUUAUUACUGUGUGCACAGCACUGUACAAAGUGCUUGGGA